UUAAGCGACUAAGCGUACACGGUGGAUGCCCUGGCAGUCAGAGGCGAUGAAGGACGUGCUAAUCUGCGAUAAGCGUCGGUGAGGUGAUAUGAACCGUUAUAACCGGCGAUUUCCGAAUGGGGAAACCCAGUGUGUUUCGACACACUAUCAUUAACUGAAUCCAUAGGUUAAUGAGGCGAACCGGGGGAACUGAAACAUCUAAGUACCCCGAGGAAAAGAAAUCAACCGAGAUUCCCCCAGUAGCGGCGAGCGAACGGGGAGGAGCCCAGAGCCUGAAUCAGUGUGUGUGUUAGUGGAAGCGUCUGGAAAGGCGCGCGAUACAGGGUGACAGCCCCGUACACAAAAAUGCACAUAUUGUGAGCUCGAUGAGUAGGGCGGGACACGUGGUAUCCUGUCUGAAUAUGGGGGGACCAUCCUCCAAGGCUAAAUACUCCUGACUGACCGAUAGUGAACCAGUACCGUGAGGGAAAGGCGAAAAGAACCCCGGCGAGGGGAGUGAAAAAGAACCUGAAACCGUGUACGUACAAGCAGUGGGAGCCUCUUUAUGGGGUGACUGCGUACCUUUUGUAUAAUGGGUCAGCGACUUAUAUUCUGUAGCAAGGUUAACCGAAUAGGGGAGCCGAAGGGAAACCGAGUCUUAACUGGGCGUUAAGUUGCAGGGUAUAGACCCGAAACCCGGUGAUCUAGCCAUGGGCAGGUUGAAGGUUGGGUAACACUAACUGGAGGACCGAACCGACUAAUGUUGAAAAAUUAGCGGAUGACUUGUGGCUGGGGGUGAAAGGCCAAUCAAACCGGGAGAUAGCUGGUUCUCCCCGAAAGCUAUUUAGGUAGCGCCUCGUGAAUUCAUCUCCGGGGGUAGAGCACUGUUUCGGCAAGGGGGUCAUCCCGACUUACCAACCCGAUGCAAACUGCGAAUACCGGAGAAUGUUAUCACGGGAGACACACGGCGGGUGCUAACGUUCGUCGUGAAGAGGGAAACAACCCAGACCGCCAGCUAAGGUCCCAAAGUCAUGGUUAAGUGGGAAACGAUGUGGGAAGGCCCAGACAGCCAGGAUGUUGGCUUAGAAGCAGCCAUCAUUUAAAGAAAGCGUAAUAGCUCACUGGUCGAGUCGGCCUGCGCGGAAGAUGUAACGGGGCUAAACCAUGCACCGAAGCUGCGGCAGCGACACUAUGUGUUGUUGGGUAGGGGAGCGUUCUGUAAGCCUGUGAAGGUGGCCUGUGAGGGUUGCUGGAGGUAUCAGAAGUGCGAAUGCUGACAUAAGUAACGAUAAAGCGGGUGAAAAGCCCGCUCGCCGGAAGACCAAGGGUUCCUGUCCAACGUUAAUCGGGGCAGGGUGAGUCGACCCCUAAGGCGAGGCCGAAAGGCGUAGUCGAUGGGAAACAGGUUAAUAUUCCUGUACUUGGUGUUACUGCGAAGGGGGGACGGAGAAGGCUAUGUUGGCCGGGCGACGGUUGUCCCGGUUUAAGCGUGUAGGCUGGUUUUCCAGGCAAAUCCGGAAAACCAAGGCUGAGGCGUGAUGACGAGGCACUACGGUGCUGAAGCGACAAAUGCCCUGCUUCCAGGAAAAGCCUCUAAGCAUCAGGUAACAUCAAAUCGUACCCCAAACCGACACAGGUGGUCAGGUAGAGAAUACCAAGGCGCUUGAGAGAACUCGGGUGAAGGAACUAGGCAAAAUGGUGCCGUAACUUCGGGAGAAGGCACGCUGAUAUGUAGGUGAAGCGACUUGCUCGUGGAGCUGAAAUCAGUCGAAGAUACCAGCUGGCUGCAACUGUUUAUUAAAAACACAGCACUGUGCAAACACGAAAGUGGACGUAUACGGUGUGACGCCUGCCCGGUGCCGGAAGGUUAAUUGAUGGGGUUAGCGGUAACGCGAAGCUCUUGAUCGAAGCCCCGGUAAACGGCGGCCGUAACUAUAACGGUCCUAAGGUAGCGAAAUUCCUUGUCGGGUAAGUUCCGACCUGCACGAAUGGCGUAAUGAUGGCCAGGCUGUCUCCACCCGAGACUCAGUGAAAUUGAACUCGCUGUGAAGAUGCAGUGUACCCGCGGCAAGACGGAAAGACCCCGUGAACCUUUACUAUAGCUUGACACUGAACAUUGAGCCUUGAUGUGUAGGAUAGGUGGGAGGCUUUGAAGUGUGGACGCCAGUCUGCAUGGAGCCGACCUUGAAAUACCACCCUUUAAUGUUUGAUGUUCUAACGUUGGCCCGUAAUCCGGGUUGCGGACAGUGUCUGGUGGGUAGUUUGACUGGGGCGGUCUCCUCCUAAAGAGUAACGGAGGAGCACGAAGGUUGGCUAAUCCUGGUCGGACAUCAGGAGGUUAGUGCAAUGGCAUAAGCCAGCUUGACUGCGAGCGUGACGGCGCGAGCAGGUGCGAAAGCAGGUCAUAGUGAUCCGGUGGUUCUGAAUGGAAGGGCCAUCGCUCAACGGAUAAAAGGUACUCCGGGGAUAACAGGCUGAUACCGCCCAAGAGUUCAUAUCGACGGCGGUGUUUGGCACCUCGAUGUCGGCUCAUCACAUCCUGGGGCUGAAGUAGGUCCCAAGGGUAUGGCUGUUCGCCAUUUAAAGUGGUACGCGAGCUGGGUUUAGAACGUCGUGAGACAGUUCGGUCCCUAUCUGCCGUGGGCGCUGGAGAACUGAGGGGGGCUGCUCCUAGUACGAGAGGACCGGAGUGGACGCAUCACUGGUGUUCGGGUUGUCAUGCCAAUGGCACUGCCCGGUAGCUAAAUGCGGAAGAGAUAAGUGCUGAAAGCAUCUAAGCACGAAACUUGCCCCGAGAUGAGUUCUCCCUGACUCCUUGAGAGUCCUGAAGGAACGUUGAAGACGACGACGUUGAUAGGCCGGGUGUGUAAGCGCAGCGAUGCGUUGAGCUAACCGGUACUAAUGAACCGUGAGGCUUAACCUU
rnacentral:rRNA from 1 species